AUUGAACGCUGGCGGCAGGCUUAACACAUGCAAGUCGAGCGAGCGGCGGACGGGUGAGUAAUGUCUGGGAAACUGCCUGAUGGAGGGGGAUAACUACUGGAAACGGUAGCUAAUACCGCAUACCAUCAGAUGUGCCCAGAUGGGAUUAGCUAGUAGGUGGGGUAAUGGCUCAUCGAGGCGACGAUCCCUAGCUGGUCUGAGAGGAGGACCAGCCACACUGGAACUGAGACACGGCCCAGACUCCUACGGGAGGCAGCAGUAGGGAAUAUUGCACAAUGGGCGAAAGCCUGAUGCAGCCAUGCCGCGUGUGUGAAGAAGGCCUUCGGGUUGUAAAGCACUUUUAGCGGGGAGGCGUUACUCGCAGAAGAAGCACCGGCUAACUCCGUGCCAGCAGCCGCGGUAAUUC
rnacentral:rRNA from 1 species